rnacentral:rRNA from 1 species
UACGUAGGGGGCGAGCGUUUGUCCGGAGUUACUGGGCGUAAAGCGCUUGUAGGCGGUCCACCAAGUUUGGGGUGACAGUUGCCGACUUAAUCGGCAAAGUGCCUCAAAGACUGGCGGACUUGAGGGCCACAGAGGGACAUGGAACUCCAGGUGUAGUGGUGAAAUGCGUAGAUAUCUGGAAGAACACCAAAGGCGAAGGCAGUGUCCUGGGUGGUCGCUGACGCUGAGAGGCGAAAGCCAGGGGAGCGAACCGG